rnacentral:rRNA from 1 species
UGGCUCAGAACGAACGCUGGCGGCGUGCCUAAUACAUGCAAGUCGAACGAGGUGCUUUGUAGCAAUACGAAGUAUCCUAGUGGCGAACGGGUGAGUAACGCGUUGGUGACCUACCCCAAAGUGUGGGAUAACAGUCCGAAAGGAUUGCUAAUACCGCAUGUGGUCUUCGGAUUUAGAAACCGAUGUCUAAAGCAGCAAUGCGCUUUGGGAGGGGCCUGCGUCCCAUCAGCUAGUUGGUGAGGUAACGGCUCGGCAAGGCGACGACGGGUAGGGGACCUGAGAGGGUGGCCCCCCACAAUGGAACUGAAACACGAUCCAUACUCCUACGG